AUAUAUAUAACAUAUAUAUUCCUGUCCACACUCUUCUUCCUCUUCUUCUCCUUCUUCUUCGUCUUCUUCUUCUUCUACUUCUUCCUCUUCUUCAUCCUCUUCUUCUUCCUCUUCUUCUCCUUCUUCUUCUUCUACUUCUUCUCUUCUUCAUCCUCUUCUUCUUCUUCCUCUUCUUCUUCUUCCUCGUCUUCUUCUUGUUCUUCCUCUACUUCUUCCUAUUCUUGCUUUCUUCAUUUCUCUCUUCUUCCUCUUCUUCAUCCUCUUCUUCCUCUUCUUCUCUUCUUCUUCCUCUUCAUUCUUCUUCCUCUUUCUUCUUCCUCUUCUUCCUCUUCUUCAUCUUCUUCUUCUUCCUCUUCUUCUUCUUCUUCCUCCUCCUUCUCUCUGCUCAUCCUCCAGCUCCGUCCCCCCUCCCCAGCCGCUCCCGCUCCAGCUCAGUGGGGGAGUCUUUGGGUCUGGGAGGAGGGAGAGCCAUGAGAGCGCUGGUUUCUCACCCCUCCUCAUCCAACCCGAAGCUUCUCCCUUUCACCCGGGGGGAGAGCGUCACCGUGCUGGUGCAGGAGCCACGCAACGGCUGGCUGUACGGACGCACGGACAGCAGCCUGCGUCAGGGCUGGUUUCCUGCUGCCUACGUGGCUCCUGUCGACGAUUUCUCCAACACUUUAUCAACAAGUGGUGGUUCUCUAAGGAGCCACAGUAUGAACAAUCUGCUGGACCCAACUGACACCUACACCGAUCAAUCAGAGAGCAACAGCUUUGGAGACGUCCCGCCCCCCGCCACCCCCAACCGCAGAGCCUCCGCCGAUUUCCGGUCGAGCUCUCCUCUCCCGGAGAAGAAGCUGGAGUCGGCCUUGGAGGCAAAGCCCCCCCCGCUGCCUCCCCCCCCGAGUCUCCGGAGGGGCUCUGCGGAUCUUCGGAUGUCAUCUCUCGCUGAGAGGACGGAGGAUUCAUCCUCUGAAGUCCAGGUACCAGACGCUCAAAGACUUUCACCUUUUUAUUUUCUGCUACAUUUCUCCUGCUUCACUUUGUGCAUCCUGUGUUUCCUCAGAGCUUGUCGCCCCCCGGGCCGCCUGGUAACCCCCUGUUCCCCAGGUAACGUGUGUGAUCCAGCAGCAUGAAGGGCUUCAGGAGGGUUUGGAGUCCACGUCUCUGCCGUUUCAGAGGAUUAACACAGAUGUAAAGCAUCGUAGUUAAAGUGCAGCUGCGUGUUUAUGUUGGUGCACAAUAGUUCUGUCACUUUGUGAUUUAUUCAUUUGACUAUUUUCUGCACAUUUUGGUCUUUUCUCACUUCUGUAGCAACAGAACUUAUUUAUUUUGUAAAAAGAUUUUCUUGUAGCUUUGUAAUGUUUUCUAUCUUUGCAAACUAUUUAUCUCCCUCGAAGAAUAUAUUUUAAUGGCACUUAUAUAUUAAUAUAUGUAUAUUUCAAUCAAUUCAAUCACACCGAAUAUUUUCACUUCAUUUCCCCUGAGCUUCUGCGCUGCACAUAAAUGCAUCACAUUGUGCAGAACUGGUUAAGUUGCAUCUACAUUUAUUUAUAUAUUUUAAAAAAGCAACACAGAGACUCCAUCGA
rnacentral:lncRNA from 1 species